UAGGGAAUCUUCCACAAUGGACGCAAGUCUGAUGGAGCAACGCCGCGUGAGUGAAGAAGGUUUUCGGACCGUAAAGCUCUGUUGUUGGUGAAGAAGGAUAGAGGUAGUAACUGGCCUUUAUUUGACGGUAAUCAACCAGAAAGUCACGGCUAACUACGUGCCAGCAGCCGCGGUAAUACGUAGGUGGCAAGCGUUGUCCGGAUUUAUUGGGCGUAAAGCGAGCGCAGGCGGAAGAAUAAGUCUGAUGUGAAAGCCCUCGGCUUAACCGAGGAAUUGCAUCGGAAACUGUUUUUCUUGAGUGCAGAAGAGGAGAGUAGAACUCCAUGUGUAGCGGUGGAAUGCGUAGAUAUAUGGAAGAAUACCAGUGGCGAAGGCGGCUCUCUGGUCUGCAAACUGACGCUGAGGCUCGAAAAGCAUGGGUAGCGAACAGGAUUAGAUACCCUGGUAGUCCAUGCCGUAAACGAUGAGUGCUAAGUGUUGGGAGGCUUCCGCCUCUCAGUGCUGCAGCUAACGCAUUAAGCACUCCGCCUGGGGGAGUACGACCGC
rnacentral:rRNA from 1 species